CAGAGUGAACGCGAAAAUAUCGUUGCCAGCUUGGAAUGCUGAUUCGAAAUCAGUUAGUGCAAAGGAAACAACAGACAUAUAGGGUGUGUUCAGUAAUGCAUUAAGACUUGCAGUAUUUGCAGAGUUGGCAGCACUGCAGAUUUGAUGGUUGAUGCAGCUGAUAGAAUUGUUGACAAUUUGCAAAUAGGUUUGUUGCAUUUUUGAACACCUUCUUUACUAACAUGGAAGUGUUAUUAAGUUUAAUAGUGAACGAUAUUUGUGAGCCAAGAGCUGAUAGUUUUUUAUUGAAUUCAAGAAAAAGAAAACUUUUAAAGUUUAAAAGAAGAAGAUUUCUUAUUAAAAGGCUAUCGCUAAAGCGAAAAAUACCUUAAAAAGAGACAUUUUUUAAAACAAUAAAAGCCUUUCCCGAGGACAUAUUUUAUUCUCAUUUUCGGAUGAAUUGGUCCACUUUCAAUGCUUUGAAAGACGCUUUGUCUCCAACUUGGGUAACUGCAAGGUUUGGCCGCUGUGGUCAUUCAUUAGAAAAAUGUCUAUACGUAACGUUAUGGAAGCUAUGCAAUAGCAGGGGCACCUUCCGCCAGUUUUCGGAUCGUUUCAACAUUGCGAGGGGAACAGCGUACUCUCUGUUCAUCAAAACAAUCAAAGCCAUUUGUAAUUUGAAAAGCGAAAUUAAAUGGCAAUCUGUUGAAUAUCAGCAAACUCUCAUGACGAAUUUUGAAAACAGCAGAGAAAAUCCGUUUCCUUUCGUAAUUGGAUGUUUACUAGAUGGAAGACAUAUACUUAUGUACUUCCAUCUAAUUAGGUUACUUUUCUAAAUUUUCUUACUGAACACGGAAUAAAUCGUUUUUUUAGACUUCAUUUUCAUUUAAUUUAAUUUAAUAAAAUAUAUUAAAUUAA